rnacentral:rRNA from 1 species
CAAUAGCGUAUAUUAAAGUUGCUGCAGUUAAAAAGCUCGUAGUUGGAUUUCUGGUGGGAGCGAUCGGUCUGGCGCUUAGCGCGAGUACUUGCAUCGUCUCCGGCCAUCCUUGGGGAGAGUCUGUCUGGCAUUAGGUUGUCGGGCAGAGGAUCCUCAUCGUUUACUGUGAAAAAAUUAGAGUGUUCAAAGCAGGCUUAUGCCGUUGAAUAUAUUAGCAUGGAAUAAUAAGAUAGGACUUUGGUACUAUUUUGUUGGUUUGCGCACCAAAGUAAUGAUUAAUAGGGACAGUUGGGGGUAUUCGUAUUCCGUUGUCAGAGGUGAAAUUCUUGGAUUUACGGAAGACGAACUACUGCGAAAGCAUUUACCAAGGAUGUUUCCAUUAA